rnacentral:rRNA from 1 species
UUUUCCUACGGGGGGCAGCAGUGGGGGAUAUUGCACAAUGGGGGGAACCCUGAUGCAGCGACGCCGCGUGGGUGAAGAAGCGCCUCGGCGCGUAAAGCCCUGUCAGCAGGGAAGAAAAUGACGGUACCUGAAGAAGAAGCCCCGGCUAACUACGUGCCAGCAGCCGCGGUAAUACGUAGGGGGCAAGCGUUAUCCGGAUUUACUGGGUGUAAAGGGGGCGCAGACGGAAAGGCAAGUCAGAGGUGACAGCCCAAGGCUCAACCA